GGGGCAAGGUCUUCUCUGAGGAUGUUAGCCUUAUCGCUCUUUCAGACGGUAGUCAAUAAAAACAGCUUCCUUAGACGAUCUUCAGAGAAACAGCUUGUGUGCAUAUACUUUUUUUCCGGGGUGGAAAAGGGUUAUACAUAAACUUUGGCAAGUGGGGAGGAGUGUUCAGGGAGAAAGAAAUCACUGGCUGGAAUUUAAAGUCCUGUCAACACCUCAUAUGUGUGGAGAGGCAACGCAGAAAUCCCAGUCAAAGCUUCUGCAAGAUCUGGGAUGGCAUUGGAUCACGCAGGCCUUUGUAAGGUAAGAGAAACCCUUGAAAGGCUGAAGUCAAUGCAACUGAGGCAGCCCCUAGUUUUCCACACAAAGGGGCCAGACAAGGUGAGAAAACCAUGGAGGAUACGAAACUCCUUUUGCUCUGUUGGAUUCUUUUCCUGCGCACACUCAUUUGUAUCAUGAAGCGCUAGGUCAUGGAUACAGGUUGCUGAGAGCUGAAGAAGAAAAUUUCCAGGCCUACUUCACUGUCUCCUUGGAAACUUCAAAAUUGCUUUGCCAUGGCUUGGAGAUUCCUCAGGUAACACACUGAGACCUUCUAGGGCCUCCUGAGAAGGAAGACUUCAAUUACACCUCAAACCAGAGCUUCCACCACGGGAUUCAUUGUCACAACUCACAGGACCUAAGGAUGCUUUAUGUGCCUAAGGUCAUGGCCUCACAUCCCUACAUCCUCAGUGAUCCACAGCUCAGGGCCAAGCUGAACCUUCUAUUGCAAGAUCCUGCUACGGUUACGGAUUCAGAGAGCAUUUCCAACAAGUGAGUCAUCACCCAGGCCGUUGGCCUCAAGGAGACCUGGAACAAGUUUGUGGCAGUUCUGAUGUACCAGCUGCUCUCUGACUCCAAUGCUUCAUGGUGCCCAUGAGAACUGAGCAUCUGCUGUUCCGGGCCUUGUGACUCUGCAUCCAUGACUCAGACUGCCUCCCAACUUGCCAAGUCUCUCUACUGCUGUUUUCUAUCUUUACUCUCAGUUGCUACCUCAGUUUUUCUUCCUUCUCUGAUCCCUGCAGGGCAUGAGGCUGAAUGAUUAGCCAAUCCUUUCCAGUGGCAUAGUCUCUGUAGGUACCAAGGGUCUCCACCUAAAUCCAGUGAGGUCAAAAGCCUCUGGUCUGCUUCCCUACAUGUAGUUACUUUGGUCAGUACUGUUUUCCUGUAUUAUCCAUGUGAGCAGAAUGGCACGGGCUGUGACACACUUCAUGGUAGAAUCUGGAACCUGUGGGGAUGUGUGGGUGGCUGAGUACUUGAAGUCCCUGAGUCAGUCAUUGUGGUUAUCCAUGGCUCUGCCAUGGGGCAGCAGCACCCUUGACUGACCCUUUUCUCUUUGUAUAUUUGUAGGUUGCCUUUAGGGCACACCUCUCUACAGCAGUAAGAAUUCCUGUGCAUGUACUUUAUACCAACAGUCCCUCCCCCAAGGUUUGGCUGUCUUGCUGAUAAUGCAAAAAUAUUACCAGAACUACAGUUAAAUAUAUACUCAGGGUCAACGGUUAACUCCACAAAGAUGAAAAGAAAAAAAUCUGUUGAUGAAGUAAAGCUGGGGGAGGGCAUGGCUUCGACAAAGUUCCCAUCAUGCUCCAGCAUGGCUGAGGCAGGUUUCAGAAGGUGGGUCCUGGCUGGAAUGAGGAGACAUCCAAGUUUGCAUUCGUGGGUUCAAGAGCGUGAGGGUCUAGGAAGAGCUUGAUGAGUAAUCCGUACUAGCUGUUGGCAAACCACUCCACUGCCUACUCUUCCAGGACUAAGAGUUUUCUGGAGUAAGUGAUGAAUUUAUUUCGGCUCAAUCUCAGCAUUAGUUAGCACGGGGCCCACAAACUCUGAUUCUUAGUGAUGUAUUUGUAACAUCUUAAAGUAACUUCUCACGCUCUCCACCAAUCAUAAAGCCACCGUGGGAGGCUUUGUGCAGGUUAUAAUAGAGUGCUAUCAGUUUGCUGUUAUUGUUGUUUGUUUUUCUUUCUUCCUUUUUUUAAAUUCCUAUAAGACAGUGGGAUGCCAUAUUUUUGGGGUACUUUUCAUUCUCUUGAUUUUUGUGACACAGGGAACAUCUCAAUUUAAUAGUUUGUAAAAUGGGGAUAAUUCUACCAAUUGUGAUGAGGAUUAAACAGCUUAUAUAAGUA
rnacentral:sRNA from 1 species